AUCGCCCAUUCGUGUUUAGGUUGA
rnacentral:siRNA from 1 species